rnacentral:rRNA from 1 species
CCUACGGGAGGCAGCAGUGGGGAAUUUUGGACAAUGGGGGAAACCCUGAUCCAGCCAUGCCGCGUGUGUGAAGAAGGCCUUCGGGUUGUAAAGCACUUUCGGACGGAACGAAAUCGCGCGUGUUAAUAACCCGCGUGGAUGACGGUACCGUAAGAAGAAGCACCGGCUAACUACGUGCCAGCAGCCGCGGUAAU